UUUCUAGAUAGUCUCAGGUAGAAGUUUGGUUACCAGAAAGCCAAAACAUGGAAUUAGAGAGUCAAACUUUCAACCUUAUCUUCUGACUUCUCAGGGAGAAAAAGGGGCCUGGAGACUGGAUUGAAAGAACCCUUGAACAAGGAAGUUUGAAGAAUCUUCAGGAUUAAUUAAGUAACCCAGCCUUGACCUAGCAGCAUUGGGACAUAUGAGCAACUGAAGCCUGCUGACCUCAUGCCUCUGUCCAGAAGCAACUGAUGACUAUUGCCUUAGAUGCUGACUUCAGCUCCCAUCAUCUCAAUUUUCUUGGAACUGGAAGACUUUGUGCGUUAAAGUUCUAGGAUCCUGAAGAAGGGCUUCUCUCAUAUCCAGCAAAAAGGAGGCUAGUGAUUGUUUUUUGACAUCUAAGCCCUAUAUUGCAGUGAACCCUCUGAACAAUUCAUGAGAUACAUAUUAGGCUUUUAGUAAGAAGGGAAUAAGGUCU
rnacentral:lncRNA from 1 species